rnacentral:lncRNA from 1 species
AAGUACGCAAGAAGACUACAUGUUAGUUUUUCUACCAACCCUGAGUACAUCCUCAUUUACUCAUCACCAUAGUCAGCUGAUAUUUAUUGAAUGCUCAUUCUGCGCAGAGAACUGCUCUUGACUAGGCCCUGGAUGACUCCAGCCAAAGCUCCGGAAAUUAUCCCUGUCUCAAGAAGUAUCUACUCCAAGAAGAAAACAAGAAGAGACCCAAAUUGUGUGAGACAUAAAUACAAGGUACAGAAAGCUGGAAUCAGUUACCCAACUUUCCUUAGUGGGAUAAAAGUAUAUAAAUAAGUACUAAGACUUAGGACACAGAAGAACAGAAACGAGAUGGGCAUGGCUCUGUAAAUGAAGCCUGAUGGAGGUAGCCAAAAAAGGUUUUCUGGGGAAGCUUAGUAAUCACUGGAAAAAAAGGGUAGGAGACCUCACAACUAAAGGAAAUGACAGAACGGUAGCUUUGUAGAAGAAAAGCAAUAUGCGCUUUUCGCAAUGCCACCAGGAAAUAGG